GGAAGUGGCGUCGCCUGACCCCGCGGCCGCGCAAGAAGCCGGCGACGCCGGGCUCGGGAGGGUUCUGCGGGAAGCGCUGGGAGAGGCCGGAGCUGCGGGAGCUGCUGAGGGGCCGGGACAGUGGCUCCUGAAGCAUCCCGCUGAAGUGGCUCCUGUUCUACCGGCCGGUGCCCCCUGAUCCAGGACGGCCCCCAAGAGAUGGAGAGGAGGUGGAAGAAUGUUUGUCUUUUCUGAUGAGGAAGCCGUAACUCUUUAGGUUUCGUGAGCUGUAACUCUUUAGGUUUCGAGGCCAUACAAGUGUUCAGAGUGUGGAAAGGGGUUUCAGAUCAGCUCACAUCUCCUCCUGCACCAUCGGUUUCACACAGAGGAGAGGCUCUUUUGCUGUCCAGACUGUGGGAAAGGAUUCAUGUACAAUUCCACCCUCAACAACCACCAGUGGAUUCACACAGAGGAGAGGCCCUUCUGCUUCCCUGGCUGCGGGAAGGGAUUGAAGCACAACUCCACCCUUGCCACCCACCAGCGCACCCACAUCGGGGAGAAGCCCUAUCAGAGUCCACAAUGUGAGAAGAGCUUCUCAUAGAGCUCAACUUUGACCCAGCACCAACAGAGCCACUGGUUAGGGAGGCUCUGUGAGUGCCCUGACUGAGGGAAGAGCUUCGUGUGCUGCUCCAACUCCAUCCCUCAUUGAAGGACCCUUGUUGGGAAGAGAUCUGGUGACCCACAUUCCCUUGUGAUCCAUAUUGGGAAGGCACCUAGCUGGCUAUCCUUUUGUUUUGACCUUCAUUUUCUUCUGACUCAACUCCAUCAGCCAAAACAGGCCUGAAAAGAAAGAAAUUGAUCAAUGAUGUCUGAAGUCCCACCAUUUCACAGUUGUUUGAGGGGGAAUUUAGGAUUUGGGGACAUAUUCUGGAGGAUUUGGGGGUUCUGGGAGGAUUUUGGGCAGUGUUCUCCAUCUCUUUGCACUGCAGAAACCAAGAGGGAUCAAUCUGUCACCUCAAAACAACUCAAUCCCACUGAAAACAACUGAAUUCUAACCCAUAAGGGCUCAAUCCCCCCUCAAAAUGGCUUGUUCCCACCUCAAAAAAACUCAACCCCACUCCAAACUCAAUUCCAUAACUGCCAGAGUUAGAUGGGGUUGGAAGGAGACUGGGAGAAGUGGGAUCCAAAUUUGGAGCAGUGGAUCUGGAUUGUGUGGGGCUGAGUGGGUGGGAUGUAUUUGAUAGUAAAUAAAACUUUCAGAGUUAGUGGUUUCUUUCCCAUUCAUUUUCAGUCUGUUGCAGUUCUGUUUGCAGAGUGCCACCUUCCCAGCUGAUUGUGUUUGUGUCCUCCUUUCUCUCCCACCUCUCUUUGCCUGCUCUGUUUAUCUCUCUGUUGGAAUCUGAGGGUUCUGACCUCAGCCCACUCCAGAGUUGGUGAACUCUAGGGAAGGGCUUCCUGUUGGAGGAUGGCUGCAGGAGCAGGGCCAUGAAUCCUUAGAAUACCUGCUCCAGCACUCCCCUGUCUGAGACCCCAGAACCAAGCACUGUGUCUGGCCUGGGAACAGAGCCUGGGAACAGCAUUGUGCCUGGCCUGAGAACAGACACUGUGCAGGGCCUGUAGGCUAGGAGCCAGGCACUGUGCAAGGCCUGGGAAUGGCACAGAUAACAAAGGCAGCAUAUCCUUGAAGAUAUGAGUUGUACAAGAACAGAGUGUGAGACAACACGUGCCCAGCAGGAUAAGAUGUGCUGGGAGGACGUGACUGAGAGAAGAAGAACUUGGCUUGAGAAACUUGACUGCAGCUGUAACUGUACGUAGAAGAAGUUCUAACAAAGACCUUUGUGAAAUAGCCAAUGAAAACUAUUGCUGGCUUUGCUUGUAGAAAACCCUACAUAAACUGUAAGAAUCCUGGAAUAAACUUGAGGCUUGCUUUUCAAUUAUAUUGAUUGUGUGCUUGUCCUCCCUCACUGCCCAACUUCAACUUCCCAUCUGGAAAUUGAUUCCUUAAAUUUACAUUUAAGAAGUGACAAUUUUGUUGUGAUCUGGCCAGACUAUGCCAGUUUUGUUUUACCAGUGGGCAUGGUGUCUAGGUUUGGAAAGACAGGUGUCUGCUAAGGAAGGCAGGAGCCUCCCCUGAAAUGGAAAAAUGUAGACCCCUUCCCUCUGAAUUGUUAUAAAUUUGAAAUUAAGGAGGAUUCUCAGGCAAAAAUAUGGAAGCAGGAAUAACAGUUCUUUAUUAGGGAAGAAAAUAAAAAGAUAAAAUAAGCAAUGCAGUGAACCAAAACAACACUGACAGAGUCAGAAUACAACCUGACACCCUGUUUGGUGUUGGUAGCAGUCCAAUUGGAAUUGUAGCUGCAGUCCUCCUGGAGUGUCAGGUGUGGUUCUGUUGGAGUAGUGAUCUUGUAGAAAAAGGGUGUAGACUUCCUCCAAAGAGGCAGUGGAAGAGGCAACUGUUUUUCUGGGAAAAUCCAGCACAGAAAAAGCUGUGCUAGUGGGACAGAAUCUCAAGACUAUAUGCAGGUAGGAAUGCUUAGCUCUUCUAUCUUACAAUCUUACAAUGGGAUGUUAUAGCUUUUAUCAGUCAUGCAGUGACAUUCAAUAGCCCAUUAUCAGCAGAUGUCUUUCCGGAGGGAGGAUUGAUUGUGGAAGGGAUAAGGAGAAACUGCCCACUUAACACAAGACAACUGCCAUACAAAUGGCAAGUAGAAUACAUCUUGCUUUUCAAUCUGGGACACAGGGUCAGCACCAAAGACACAAACACCAACUGAAGGAAUCAGUGUAAUUGCUGUAGUUCAAAGCAGCAAAGAAUCACAGAAGGAGAAGCUCAGCAAUGCACCCAAUCAUCACUACCAAAGAUUGCCUGCAGUGAUUAAGAAAGAUCCAUCACUGUUGCAGUGAGGUGGCUGCAACAAACCUCUGGUUCCCUGACUUCAGAGCGAGGGUGGUGAAAAUGAAAAGGAGGAGCUUCGAUGAGGUUGCCUGGAAAGAACUUUAAUAAAGGGUGCAAAACAACAAACAUGGAGAAGCUGAGCACAGUAUGAGGGAAAAUAUCCAAAGACCCAUAACAAAGUGGAAGCAACAACAUAUACACUUGGAGGUGGAACAUUCUGGAACUAUAACCACAUAGGGGAAACAAUCAGUAGGGGAGCAGAACUUGGACAACUUAAUAUAGUAACACCAAAGGCUUAUGGGGGAACUCUCAGGCUCGCCAUAAGCUAAACAAUUGAUUCCCAGGUCUUGAAAUGAAUACCCAGUUCUUCUGGGGUAAAAUCUGGCUGACUUUGAGUCACAGCCGGGCCAAUACCCACAUCUCCCCCUGUGGAUGCCAGCAAGGUCAGGGAGAGAGAAACAGCAAUCGUUUCUCACAGUGGCUUGUGAAAAUUUUUAGGGAGUUGUAGGGAUGUGAUAACUUGUUAGUAUAAACAUUUUGCAGGUGGUGAUUUUCUACUUUGUUUUUCUGUUCUCAGGGAUGGUGUGUAAGAAAGAUGUUUUUAUUAACUAGCCAAUCAAGUGGAAUGUAUCAUAUCAGUCUAUAUAAGCCGGAGAAUCCAUUGUAUUAAAGCUUCUUUUUUUCCUCUUGCAA